GACGAACGCUGGCGGCGUGCUUAACACAUGCAAGUCGAACGGAAAGGCCUGCUUUCCCUUGUGGAUUGCGGGUGCUCGAGUGGCGAACGGGUGAGUAACACGUGAGUGAUCUGCCCCCAACUUGGGUAUAAGCCUGGGAAACUGGGUCUAAUUCCCGAUAGGACUGCAGGGUGGUGCCUGUGGUGGAAAACGAUUUUCUAGUGGUUGGGGAUGAGCUCGCGGCCUAUCAGCUUGUUGGUGGGGUAAUGGCCUACCAAGGCGGCGACGGGUAGCCGGCCUGAGAGGGUGGACGGCCACAUUGGGACUGAGAUGCGGCCCAGACUCCUACGGGAGGCAGCAGUGGGGAAUAUGGCACAAUGGGCGGAAGCCUGAUGCAGCGACGCCGCGUGGGGGAUGACGGCCUUCGGGUUGUAAACUCCUUUCGACCGCGAGGAAGCCACCUGGUUGGAAGGGUGGUGACGGUAGUGGUAGAAGAAGCACCGGCUAACUACGUG
rnacentral:rRNA from 1 species